GGACGUCGAGCAUAGGACGCGGGCGACGCGGCUCGUCGCCGAUUUUGAACGACUGCCUCCCCUCUCCGCUGUCGCGCCGAUCGCCGUUGCGCCGAUCGUCACUGCGCAGAAGCGAAACGCGCCCCCACCACUGACCACGGCUAGCAACCCCUACCCCUUUUGCACCUGCAACCCUUCCGUCGGUUUCCAAGUUACGUCAUUCGACUCCGGGACUCCGGCGGUCGUGGUCCAACGCUUCCGCUUCCGGUUCUCCCAGUCACGAGGCACGCUCCUUGCUUCACCAACAGCUGGACCUUGAUUACGAAGAAGCGAUCGUUCUCCGGAUAUUCGUCCUGUAAACGCUCUUUAUGCUUUUGAUUGUUGCUCAGAAAGCCUUGAUUACGAUAUUGGCUUUCGGGCAAUAAUCAUAAUCACGAAAGGGCAGAACCUCGACUCUGCCUGUUGCCGAUGGCACCUGUUACUUCGAGACACAGCGCAAUUUCAGAUUUCGUUUCUUCUCCACGAUCGCGAAUUCUACGAUUAAGGAAGAAACUGUUCUUCCACUGAAGCGUAUAUAUCAAGAAUAUUUAUUAGUGACGCGCGAAGAUUAUUAUCCGAAAUAAUUCCAACUAAUAUCAGAACGUGACAAGUCAAAGGAAACGGUACAACAAAACGUUGUCGAUCUAAUAAGCUUUUGGAAAAUGAAGCGAAAAAUCUUCUGCACACCACUGAACGUAAUUAGAAUUGUAACGAUAGUUACAUUAUUAUUAUUAUUGUAUCAGUAGUAUUAGUAUUACUUGUAUACAUUCUAUAGUGCGUUAUCAAUAUAUGUCCAUCAAUAUGUUGCAUGUAUUUAAUAAUAUGUCAAUAUUAUUUGUAUAAGCUCUUCUAUCGUUACAAACUCAGGCUCUAGUUACAACGUAUAUAUACAUAUAUGUGUAUGCGUGUGUGUGGGCGUGUAUGGGCGUAUAAAAACGUUCUUAAUUUCUCCUACAAAUAUUAUAUAAUAGAGAAACCGAUAUUACUCUGCUUUCAUAGUUUUUGUUAUAAAUCCAUCGUUUUAGAAAUCCAAUGAAUACCAGGUUGAUUAAAGCACAAAAGAAAGUGGAAAGGCGAAAGGAAUUGGUUUUAAAGCCUGCAGGCAUUUAAGUUGAAAACAAAUUGAUGCCGUUUGCUGCUGUAGAUCUGCGUCGGAAUAAAAAUAACUAAAAGAAAA